rnacentral:rRNA from 1 species
GACGAACGCUGGCGGCGUGCUUAACACAUGCAAGUCGAACGGAAAGGCCCUGCUUUUGUGGGGUGCUCGAGUGGCGAACGGGUGAGUAACACGUGAGUAACCUGCCCUUGACUUUGGGAUAACUUCAGGAAACUGGGGCUAAUACCGGAUAGGAGCUCCUGCUGCAUGGUGGGGGUUGGAAAGUUUCGGCGGUUGGGGAUGGACUCGCGGCUUAUCAGCUUGUUUGUGGGGUAGUGGCUUACCAAGGCUUUGACGGGUAGCCGGCCUGAGAGGGUGACCGGCCACAUUGGGACUGCGAUACGGCCCAGAAUCCUACGGGAGGCAGCAGUGGGGAAUAUUGCACAAUGGGCGGAAGCCUGAUGCAGCAACGCCGCGUGCGGGAUGACGGCCUUCGGGUUGUAAACCGCUUUCGCCUGUGACGAAGCGUGAGUGACGGUAAUGGGUAAAGAAGCACCGGCUAACUACGUG